UUGCCAUCUGAUCUCUUACAGGGCAUUAGUUUGGUUGUAAGCUCCUACGGUGGCGAAGACAUCAUUGUGUCAUUUGGAGGAUACAAUGGACGUUAUACCAACGAGGUUAAUGUUCUUAAACCUAGUCACAAAUCAACCUUGCAAUCAAAGUUGGCUGAGACUCCAGUGGCAGACAGUGUUUCAGCUGUCCAUAACAUCACAAAUCCCACAGGCGAUGUCGAAUCCGAGUAUGAACGGGCUCAAGAAGGAAAAAUUAGGGAAAUUGUUAUGGACAACAUAGAGCCGGAGCAUUUG